AUUGAACGCUGGCGGCAGGCCUAACACAUGCAAGUCGAGCGAGCGGCGGACGGGUGAGUAAUGUAUGGGGACUGCCCGAUAGAGGGGGAUGACGACUGGAAACGGUGGCUAAUACCGCAAACUAUCGGAUGACCCAUAUGUGAUUGGCUAGUAGGUAAGGUAAUGGCUUACCUAGGCGACGAUCCCUAGCUGGUCUGAGAGGAUGGUCAGCAACACGGGGACUGAUACACGGCCCAGACUCCUACGGAGGCAGCAGUGGGGAAUAUUGCACAAUGGGCGCAAGCCUGAUGCAGCCAUGCCGCGUGUAUGAAGAAGGCCCUAGGGUUGUAAAGUACUUUCAGUCGGGAGGCGUUACCGACAGAAGAAGCACCGGCUAACUCCGUGCCAGCCGCCGCGGUAAUUC
rnacentral:rRNA from 1 species